rnacentral:rRNA from 1 species
CCUACGGGAGGCAGCAGUGAGGAAUAUUGGUCAAUGGUCGGGAGACUGAACCAGCCAAGCCGCGUGAGGGAUGAAGGUACAGAGUAUCGUAAACCUCUUUUGUCAGGGAACAAAGGCGGGGACGUGUCCCCGGAUGAGUGUACCUGAAGAAAAAGCAUCGGCUAACUCCGUGCCAGCAGCCGCGGUAAUACGGAGGAUGCGAGCGUUAUCCGGAUUUAUUGGGUUGAAAGGGUGCGCAGGCGGUCUGUUAAGUCAGCGGGCAAAGCCCGGGGCUCAACCCCGGCCCGCCGUUGAAACUGGCAGUCUCGAGUUGGAGAGAAGUAUGCGGAAUGCGCGGUGUAGCGGUGAAAUGCAUAGAUAUCGCGCAGAACUCCGAUUGCGAAGGCAGCAUGCCGGCUCCACACUGACGCUGAGGCACGAAAGCGUGGGUAUCGAACAGGAGUAGAUACCCUUGUAGUC